rnacentral:rRNA from 1 species
GGAACAGUAACUCCAACCCCUGUGACAUACCUGAACGUUGCUUCGGCGGGACCGCCCCGGCGCCCUCACCGGCCCGGAACCAGGCGCCCGCCGGAGGACCCAAACUCUUGUUUAAUUAGUGGCAUAUUCUGAGUCUCAAAACAAAAUAAAUUAAAACUUUCAACAACGGAUCUCUUGGCUCUGGCAUCGAUGAAGAACGCAGCGAAAUGCGAUAAGUAAUGUGAAUUGCAGAAUUCAGUGAAUCAUCGAAUCUUUGAACGCACAUUGCGCCCGCCAGUAUUCUGGCGGGCAUGCCUGUUCGAGCGUCAUUUCAACCCUCAAGCCCCAUGGCUUGGUGUUGGGGACCGGCCCCGUGCCGCCCCCUAAAUGCAGUGGCGACCUCGCCGCAGCCUCCCCUGCGUAGUAGCACAACCUCGCACCGGAGCGCGGAGACGGUCACGCCGUAAAACGCCCAACUUUUUUAGAGUUGACCUCGGAUCAGGUAGGAAUACCCGCUGAACUUAAGCAUAUCAAUAAGCGGAGGAAAACCCCCUUCUUUAACUUUCUAGACGGUAGGAAAAAUUUCCGUGCUUAUCCCUCAACUAUAGUGUGUCUCUUUAUACUUGCUGACGUUCUUCCCGUAGGGAAACUAUUUCCCCUUUUCUUAGACUAUAUUUGAUUCAAUUACCACAGUGGCAUUUUACCUCUUUGCGGAAAAUACUCACAAUUUAUCUAUUUUAGCUGGGUCCUGAGUUUUUGUUCUUAGAUCUGAUUUUAUGUCCAAAACGUUGUUCUAUGUAGACGUAUAUGUCAUAUUUUUACGCAUUUCACCACUAAACUAGUAUUUAUAUUGCUUUUCGUUUUUAUUGUUACACUAAAA